rnacentral:rRNA from 1 species
CUUGGUCAUUUAGAGGAAGUAAAAGUCGUAACAAGGUCUCCGUUGGUGAACCAGCGGAGGGAUCAUUACAGAGUUGCAAAACUCCUAACCCUUUGUGAACGAACCUACCAGUUGCCUCGGCGGCGAGCCUUUCAGGCGGACCGCCGAAGGAAUACAAACUCUUUGCAUUAUAGUAUCUCUGAUUACUUAUUCAAUAAGUUAAAACUUUCAACAACGGAUCUCUUGGUUCUGGCAUCGAUGAAGAACGCAGCGAAAUGCGAUAAGUAAUGUGAAUUGCAGAAUUCAGUGAAUCAUCGAAUCUUUGAACGCACAUUGCGCCCGCUAGUAUUCUGGCGGGCAUGCCUGUUCGAGCGUCAUUUCAACCAUCAAGCCCUAGGCUUGUGUUGGAGCCCUGCGGCUGCCGCAGCCUCCUAAAAACAGUGGCGGGCUCGCUAUCACACCGAGUGCAGUAGUUUACUCUUCGCUCAGGGCGUGUGGCGGGUGCUGGCCGUGAAACCCCCUACUUCUUAAGGUUGACCUCGGAUCAGGUAGGAAUACCCGCUGAACUUAAGCAUAUCAAUAAGCGGAGGA